rnacentral:lncRNA from 1 species
CCUGGCCCUUAGGCACUCUCAGCAUAGUUGUUUAUGAAGGAUUUUGGACAAUAAUUGACUUUUUGGGUGUCUAAGGUUUGAGUUUCUUUUAUCAACUAGUGCUGGAGGAGCCAAAUAGUCAAGACUGGGGAAAGGAGAGGAGGAAGAAGACCAUGAAGUAGGGAACCUACUGAUCCUAGGAGCCAUCCAGGAACUGCAACUAUUGUGUGCCUAAAUACAGGAAGGGCCAGCGACUGAGGAUGUGCCUUCUGGAUGCCUGCCACGUUUCCUGCUCAUUCACCCAAGCCUGCCGAGAUAUCAGUUUACCCAGAGAGUCAACGUACUUUUUCCACAGUGAGACCAAUUGAGAACACAAGUAUCCCAAUUUCCAGCAGGAGCUUCCAGCUCUAGGUUCUUGGGCACAGGCUGAUGUGAGUUCAUUGUGGAUUCCUGUGAAGUGUGUUACUGCAGGUGACCGAAACUGGACUUGGACUGAGGUCUCACCUACCAAAUCAUAAUAAAUAUCUAUAUAUUUGGAGAUAGAGAUGAAAACCAUGUGGCUGUAUCCAGUUGGAGUGAAAAAUAUGAACUAUGAAGAAAGAAGGAGUUCUGCUUCUUCCAAAGGAGUGACUCCCAAAGGAACAAGAAUUGACCAUAGGUUAUGGCUUGUGUUACAAUACACCGAUGUUGUCUUUGAGGCCAUCCACUGACGUCCUCACCCAUGGCAUAAGCAAGUUUUUCUGAAGCAGGAAGAAGCAGCAGAAUAAAUUGGAUACUUAAUGAUUGUCUACCCCUUCAAGCUAAUGUGCAUAAGAUUAACACUACUCCAUUUCCCACUACUUUGCAUCUGGGGACACUUCUUACAAGGAUUCAUAUGCCAUGAGGACUGGCAUUAUGUUGAGGUGGAAUAAAGAGCUGGUUACAUCCUAUAAUUUCAGAAGCACUGCAAGCUUUAUUUGCCACAAAUGCCUAUCCUCUAGCAGACUUCUUAGAGUUGGAAUAGAGCUUUUUUUACCAUGCCUCACAGGAGGCAGAAUACACAUCUUUGCUCCAUUGUCCUUGGGCUUGGCCGUGUGACUUGUUUUGACAGAUAGAGGGUGGGCAUAUGUAAAUGCCAAUUCUGACAGAGGUUUUAAAAGGCUUUGCAUGUUUCUGCAGGUCUCUCUUGUGCUCCUGCCUCCUGCCAUGAGAACAGCAAGUCCCAGGUAAGAACUAAUCCUUCUGCCUAACUCUCCAUAGGAGAAAACCUGAACUUGACCUACGUUCUGGAACAGAGCCACCCAGAUGACCCACAGACACUGGGAGAGAAAUGAAGACUUAUUGUUUUAGACUUUGAUAUUCUGGAAUUGAUUGCAGCAUCAUUACGGCAAAAGCUGACUAAUACAAUUCCAUUUGUUAUUCUAUUAAGUUCUUUUUGUUAAAAAAGUAUAUAACCAUUGUUGAAAAAUUAGAAAAUACAGAAAAUCAAAAUGAAGAAAAAAAUUGGGUAGGAAGACAGGCUCAAACAACUAUGAUGCAAUUACAUGUUUAUUUACAAUUGUGAUAAGUGCUAUAAAGGGAAAGUCUGUAUUCUAGGAUAAUAUUAAUAUUUAAAAAGAGGGCAUAGGCUAGGCAUGGUGGCUCAUGCCUAUAAUCCCAGCACUUUGGGAGGCCGAGGCGGACAGAUCACCUGAGGUCAGGAGUUUGAGACCACCCUGGCCAACAUGGUGAAAUUCCAUCUCUACUAAAAAUACAACAAUUAGCUGGGCGUGGUGGCACAUACUUGUAAUCCCAGCUGGUCGGGAGGCUGAGGCAGGAGAACCACUUGAACCCGGGAGGCGGAGGUCGCAGUGAGCCAAGAGCACACCACUGCACUCCAGCCUGGGCAACAGAGCGAGACUCCAUCUCAAAAAAAAAAAAAAAAAAAGAAGGCAUGAUAUAAUCUGGAAUCAGGAAAAACUUUCCAAAAGAAAUAAUGUUACGCAUAUCGUGUAUUAAAUACAUAAAAACUAUAAUGUUGCAUCUAUUAUAAUACACACAUACUUUUAUAUUACAAAUAGGUUAGUUCUUAUAUAUAUAUUUCUUAUACAUACUUCUCUCAUAUAUAAUGUAACAUGUAUAAGAGAACAUAUUACUGAAUUUAUUCUCUUCAAUGGACAAUAUAAAAUUAACAUCUUUCCAUAUUAGCAAAUAUGUUCUCACAUCAUCAUUUAUUUUAAUGCCUGUCUCAUAUUCCAGUGAUAUGUGUGGGCCAUGGUUGAUUCAACCCAUCCUCUGAUGUUGGACGUUUGAGUUGAUUUUCAUUUUUUGUCACUCUGAACAAUCUUGUAAUGAACAUUCUAGCAAGGACUCUAACCUGUUUGCUGAAGAGAAAUAAUUGUGGUGAAAAUGAGAAAAUUAUGUGCUGUGAAGCAAAAUUCUAUGACAUAUCCUGACCUUAUGUAUCCCCUCAGGAAGCAUAAUGGAAAUAUUUAUGUUUGAAAUAAAAUUUCUCAUGUACUUCCAGCUACACUCAGUGAGUCAUUCCUGAAGAUCCUUGGGGAAAAUUUAGACUAUGUUUCUUGGAUGAAGAUUGAU